UCCCGUGUAGCUCAGUUGGUAGAGCAUGGCACUUGCAACGCCAGGAUAGUAAGUUCGAUUCCCAUGGGGG
rfam:Salmo salar isolate Sally breed double haploid chromosome ssa06, whole genome shotgun sequence.